GUUUUAAAAGAACCAUAAUUUUAAAAAAAACACACAACACAGAGAAGGUCAGCAUGCCCUCUGUGCAAGGAUGACAUGCAAAUUUGUGAAAUGCUAAAAAACAAC